GGGAUGAUAACCUUCAGGAAAUGCCAAGUUGGCCUUUCAUAUUUGCGAAAGGGGGUUGUUUCCUGACAGCAAAGUCCUUCACAGUUUGCAUUGACAACGUUCCUCUCAUGCAAGCAUGCAGCCCCAGAGAGGCGUUCAAGAUAUUAUUCCUGGCACACUUUGCGUCAACGUUGCCUACGCAAAAGAGGCAAGUCUUACCCUGGAGUUCACUCAUAGGUCAAUUGCCACUGUCAGUCCCGGAAAGGGCAUGAAGACUGAGCAUACACGUGGGAAGCAGCACAACAUGAACCCGAAAGUGGCGUCAUUGAUUAGCUCCCUCAAGGACUUGACUUUUAAAUAUCUGUGCCUGCCAACUCGAACAAUAUCCCCGGG
rnacentral:lncRNA from 1 species